rnacentral:lncRNA from 1 species
CUACACCUCACCCCUCUUUCUCUUCAUCUUUUCCAGCCACACCCCCAAAACCUAAAAUACUCCAAAAACCACCCUUCCUCCAAAUGAACUCCACCCAAACAGUUCCUCCUCUCGUCGACGAGCAGCCUUUCUUCUUCGUCCAAAAGCGACCACCACCACAACGACCCCUUUCUACCAAAACCAGUCAACCCACGUCGCCAACUCCCUCUCGUCAGUUACUGUCCUAACGAUGCCCCAGUAAACCACCGAACGACCAUCACUUCCAGUUCCCUCCCCUACCAUGAACAUACACACAUGCACAGUAGGAACAGACAGAACAACCAGGCACACACAUGGAUUUUGAACUUAGAUACAUACAAACAUUUUCAUCCUCUCCUACACACCUAGCUCGACAGGAACUUUGAGCAGAAACUGAUGUGGGUACGAUCUGGAUGUUUGUUUGAGGUUCCGACGCUGCUACGUUUUCUGUUCGAGUUUGCCGGAGGUCAUUUUUCGAGGUUCUGUUCGAG